rnacentral:rRNA from 1 species
UACGGGGGGAGCAAGCGUUGCUCGGAUUUACUGGGCGUAAAGGGCGCGUAGGCGGUCAGCACAAGUCAGUUGUGAAAUCUCCGAGCUUAACUCGGAAAGGUCAACUGAAACUGUGCGACUAGAGUGCGGAAGGGGCAACUGGAAUUCUUGGUGUAGCGGUGAAAUGCGUAGAUAUCAAGAGGAACACCUGCGGCGAAGGCGGGUUGCUGGGCCGACACUGACGCUGAAGCGCGAAAGCCAGGGGAGCGAACGGG